AUAAUCAGACUACACAGACACAAAACUAAGUCCAAGAAAAGUGAAGUGGCUCUAGCUUUUUUUUAUGUCUGAAAUGUCCUUCCUUAGUCAAUGUCUAUUUAAAAACCCUUUUCAUGGGACUACUACUCUGUCAUGACCUAACUGACAUCUCCCAGAAAAGAUCAUCAUACACUAAUUUUUUUUUCACCAAGCUCUUUGUCUUUAAAUAAUACUCUAUUGCAAUCCUUUGUGUAGUCCAUGGUAGCAGAGACAACUUAACUCGUUUUUAUCUCUAGUACCUACCAAUCAGUGUCUGACCAUAGUAAUUACUGGUUUAAUGUUAACAGAAAUCAAUGUUUUCUUUAGAGUUGACAGGAGUUAUUCUAUGGUUUUAUACUAGCAGAAAAAAUAACAAGCUAAGCUAGCAUGACCAGUUCUCCAAUUGCUAUAGCAAGACUAUCUACUAUGUGAUUUUGAGACUCUUUUCUAAUAAGAAUGUAUAUUAAGACUUCGGUCUCACUAUUCAACUCAAAACAAAUGAAAAUCAUAAGAAUUUUAGACAGAAAAUAAAAUACAAUGUUUAUGCUAAGGCAGUUUUUUUGUAUCAUGCUUUGUAGCUAAAUUUGUCUAACAUUUCUGAUUGCC
rnacentral:lncRNA from 1 species